AGAAAAUAUUGGGGAUAAAUUAAGGUGUCAUUCUUCUCCAAGAAGAUAAGGAUGGGUUCCUAAAAUUUAGGGAUUCUUCUCCUUAUUCAAUUCUGAUUAUUUGGACUCAUAAUCCUCAUCAAAUAAGGUCUUCUAAUUGAUUUGUAUCAAGCCCAAUCCAAUUGGGUCAAGUUCCAUCAAUUGGGUCAAGCUCAAUCUACUUGGGUUGAACCCAAUCCAAUUAAGUCAAACCCUGAUGCAGCCCAAAUUGAAUCCUAUUCAAUUUGGCUCAACCUAAGCCCAAUUACUCAAUCAAAUUAAGUUCAUUAGUAAUCUAAUUGCUAAUUAAUCCU
rnacentral:lncRNA from 1 species